AACGAACGCUGGCGGCAUGCCUAACACAUGCAAGUCGAACGGGAUCCGGACUUCGGUUCGGUGAGAGUGGCGGACGGGUGAGUAACGCGCGGGAACCUGCCCAGUGGUGGGGGAUAACUGCGGGAAACUGCAGCUAAUACCGCAUGAGCCCGAGAGGGGAAAGAUUUAUCGCCAUUGGAGGGGCCCGCGUUCGAUUAGGUAGUUGGUGGGGUAACGGCCCACCAAGCCGACGAUCGAUAGCUGGUCUGAGAGGAUGAUCAGCCACACUGGGACUGAGAUACGGCCCAGACUCCUACGGGAGGCAGCAGUGGGGAAUAUUGGACAAUGGGGGCAACCCUGAUCCAGCAAUGCCGCGUGAGUGAUGAAGGCCUUCGGGUUGUAAAGCUCUUUUGCCAGGGACGAUGAUGACGGUACCUGGAGAAUAAGCCCCGGCUAACUUCGUGCCAGCCGCCGCCGUAAUAC
rnacentral:rRNA from 1 species